rnacentral:rRNA from 1 species
AUGAAAGAGUUUUGUCAACGAGAGCAUAUUCGACUUGAUGUAUCAUCAGUGGCUCACCCCCGGUCCAAUGGUCAAGCUGAGAGAGCCAGUCAAGAAAUUUUGAGAGGCAUCAAGCCCCGGCUUAUGGUCCCUUUGCAGAGGACGCCGGGCUGUUGGGUGGAAGAGUUACCCUCAGUGUUAUGGAGUAUUAAUACUACCCCCAACAGAUCGACGGGUUACACGCCUUUCUUCAUGGUUUACGGAGCAGAGGCGGUUCUCCCUAGUGACAUCCGUCACGAUUCGCCCCGUGUGGCGGCUUAUGUUGAAGCUGACAAUAAAAAAGCACGUCACGAUGCGCUUGACCUAUUGGAUGAGGAGCGUGAUCGAGCGGCGGCUCGUUCGGCGAUUUACCAGCAGGAUCUACGCCAUUAUCAUAGCUGCCGGGUUAAAACCAGGACCUUUCAAGAAGGCGAUCUGGUGCUCCGGCUUAUCCAGGAUCAAACUGAUAUGCACAAGCUAUCCCCACCUUGGGAAGGGCCCUUCAUGGUCAGCAAAAAUCUAAACAACGGGUCUUACUAUCUUAUCGAUGUUCGAGACCACAAGGCCUCACGCACGUCAUAG